rnacentral:rRNA from 1 species
UACAGAGGUGGCAAGCGUUGUUCGGAAUUACUGGGCGUAAAGGGCGCGUAGGCGGUUUCGUAAGUCCCGUGUGAAAGCCCCCGGCUCAACUGGGGAAUUGCACGGGAAACUGCGAGGCUUGAGUUCGGGAGAGGGAAGCGGAAUUCCGGGUGUAGCGGUGAAAUGCGUAGAUAUCCGGAGGAACACCGGUGGCGAAGGCGGCAUCCUGGACCGGCAUUGACGCUGAGGCGCGAAAGCCAGGGGAGCAAACGGG